UACGUAGGGACCAAGCGUUGUUCGGAUUUACUGGGCGUAAAGGGCGCGUAGGCGGCAAUUCAAGUCAUCUGUGAAAUCUCCGGGCUUAACCCGGAACGGUCAGAUGAUACUGCUUUGCUAGAGUGCGGAAGGGGCAAUCGGAAUUCUUGGUGUAGUGGUGAAAUGCGUAGAUAUCGGGAGGAACACCAGUGGCGAAGGCGGCUCUCUGGGCAGAUACUGACGCUGAGACGCGAAAGCAUGGGGAGCAAACAGG
rnacentral:rRNA from 1 species